rnacentral:tRNA from 1 species
GUCAGAAUUUAGGCGCAGUGGUAGCGCGCGGGGCUCAUAACCCUGAGGUCACUUGAUCGAUACAAGUUGUUGCUA